UGAUAUUUCUACACAGAUUGA
ensembl:piRNA 21ur-5044 ncRNA